rnacentral:rRNA from 1 species
UACGUAGGGUGCAAGCGUUAAUCGGAAUUACUGGGCGUGAAGCGUGCGCAGGCGGUUGUGCAAGACAGAUGUGAAAUCCCCGGGCUCAACCCGGGAACUGCGUCCGAUACUGGAAGGCUUGAAUCCGGGAGAGGGAUGCGGAAUUCCAGGUGUAGCGGUGAAAUGCGUAGAUAUCUGGAGGAACACCGGUGGCGAAGGCGGCAUCCUGGACCGGUAUUGACGCUGAGGCGCGAAAGCCAGGGGAGCAAAGCGGG